rnacentral:lncRNA from 12 species
AAUAUGGCCAUGUAAAUCUUCAAGAUCUCUUAAUGUUUUAUGCACACUAACUCAUCUUAUUCUCAUACUGUUUUACAGAUGAGGAAAUGAGUCACAGUGAAACCAGAUGACUUUCCUAGAUCACAAAGCUAGUAAGAAGUGAACCAAAGACUUCAAUCUGAGUAGCUUUGUUUGGAGUCCUGUGGACAUUAUUGGAACUUCUGGCGACAUGUGAUAAACAACAAUAAAUAAAACUACAUAUUACAUACAAGAGAGUAUGGGAAACUUGUCAAAGUGAUAUAAGAAUCCAAAGAGAAAAAAUAUAACACUGGCUUGGAAAUGGAAUGACAACAUAUUAGUCUGGGGCAGUAUUUUUAACAAGUUUUAGGUAAUAAUCAGGAAAACUAAAGAAACAGAUAUUUGAAAGAAAGGAAAAUUAUCAUUAGUAUUUGCAGGAUGCUUUUUCCCAGGAGUUACCCUGAGCUCAUGAGGGAAUAUCUCGAUUGUGGAAUUUCAAACUGAAUAGAUAUUACACUUAUGGAUGCUAUACAAUAUCAACUAUUCACCAGAGAGACUGAUGAUUAAAAAAUCUUCCAAGGAUAUCUAUGUACAGUUAGCAUCCAUCUCCUCAUUUGAUAUAAUAGAAAAAGAAAGAAAGAAAGAAAGAAAGAAAGAAAGAGAAGAAAGAGAGAGAGAAAGAAGAAAGAAGAAAGAAAGAAAGAAAGAAAGAAAGAAAGAAAGAAAGAAAGAAAGAAAAGAAAGAAAGAAAAGAGAGAAAGAAGAAAGAAAGAAAGAAAGAAAGAAAGAAAGAAAGAAAGAAAGAAAGAAGAAAGAAAGAAAGAGAAAGAAAGAAAGAAAGAAAGAAGAAAGAAAGAAAGAAAGAAGAAAGAAAGAAAGAAAGAAAGAAGAAAGAAAGAAAGAAAGAAAGAAAGAAAGAAAGAAAGAAAGAAAGAAAGAAAGAAAGAAAGAAAGAAAAAAGAAGGGAAAAAAGUAUUCUUGUGAUAAUUCUUAGGAUUUACUCUUACAGCUUUCCUAUGUAUCAUACAGCAGUGUUAACUAUAGUCAUCAUGACUUUUGACUGUCUUCCUCUAAUUACCUCUUUCCCCUGCCUUUGUACAGUUAUGAUUUUGAUAUCUUUUUCUGUGAGUUUGGUUUAGAUUUGAGAUCAUAUGGUAUUUGUCUUAUUUGUCUUUCUCUCUCUGACUUAUUUCACUUAGCACAAUGCCUUUACAAUCCAUGAUUAUUGUUGCAAAUGUUAGAAUUUCCUCAUUUUUUAUGGUUGAAAAAUAUCCCAUUGUAUAUAUGUGCCACAAAUUUUUAUCCUUUCAUGUACAGAUGGACACUUACAUUGUUUCCGUGUCUUGGCUAUUGUAAAUAAUGCUGCUAUGAACAUGGGAGUGCAAAUAUCUUUUGGAGUCAGUGUUAUCAUUGCCUUUGGAUAUAUCUCCAGAAGUAGAAUUUCUAAAUCAUACUGUAGUUCUAUUUUUAUUUUUUGAAAAUUUUCCAUAUUGUUUUCUGAUGUAGCUGUGCCCAUUUACAGUCCCACUAACAGUGCACAGAGCUUCCUUUUCUUCAUAUCAAUGCCAGUAUUUAUUAUCCCUUGUCUUUUUAUUAUGCCAGUUCUAAUAAGAAUGAGGUAAUAUCUUGUGGUUUUAAUUUGCAUUUCCCUAAUGACUAGUGAUGUUGAGCAUCUUUUAAUGUGCCUCAUGGCCUCUUAUAUAUCUUCUUUAGAGCAAUGUCUAUUCAGGAACUUUGUCCACUUUUUAAUUGGAUUAUUUGUCUUUUUUUCUAUUGAGUUGGAGGAGUUCUUUAUAUGUCUUGGAUGUUAACCCUUUGCCAGAUAUAUGGUUUGCAAACACUUUCCCAUUCCAUAGUUUGUCUUUCACGUUGUUGAUGGUUUCUUUUGCUGUGCAAAAGCAUUUUAGUUUGAUGUAUUCCCACAUGUUUUUUUGUUUGUUUGUUUGUUUUGUUUUUUAUUUUGUUGCUUGUGCUUUUGGUGUCAUAUUCAAUAAACUUUGCUUCUCUGUUUUCUUUUAGGUGUUU